UACGAAGGGGGGCUAGCGUUGCUCGGAAUCACUGGGCGUAAAGGGUGCGUAGGCGGGCCUUUUAAGUCAGGGGUGAAAUCCUGGAGCUCAACUCCAGAACUGCCUUUGAUACUGAGGAUCUUGAGUUCGGGAGAGGUGAGUGGAACUGCGAGUGUAGAGGUGAAAUUCGUAGAUAUUCGCAAGAACACCAGUGGCGAAGGCGGCUCACUGGCCCGAUACUGACGCUGAGGCACGAAAGCGUGGGGAGCAAACAGG
rnacentral:rRNA from 1 species